GACGAACGCUGGCGGCGUGCUUAACACAUGCAAGUCGAACGGAAAGGCCCUGCUUUUGUGGGGUGCUCGAGUGGCGAACGGGUGAGUAACACGUGAGUAACCUGCCCUUGACUUUGGGAUAACUUCAGGAAACUGGGGCUAAUACCGGAUAGGAGCUCCUGCUGCAUGGUGGGGGUUGGAAAGUUUCGGCGGUUGGGGAUGGACUCGCGGCUUAUCAGCUUGUUGGUGGGGUAGUGGCUUACCAAGGCUUUGACGGGUAGCCGGCCUGAGAGGGUGACCGGCCACAUUGGGACUGAGAUACGGCCCAGACUCCUACGGGAGGCAGCAGUGGGGAAUAUUGCACAAUGGGCGGAAGCCUGAUGCAGCAACGCCGCGUGCGGGAUGACGGCCUUCGGGUUGUAUUCCGCUUUCGCCUGUGACGAAGCGUGAGUGACGGUAAUGGGUAAAGAAGCACCGGCUAACUACGUG
rnacentral:rRNA from 1 species